CACGAACGCUGGCGGCGUGCCUAAUACAUGCAAGUCGAGCGGACAGAAGGGAGCUUGCUCCCGGAUGUUAGCGGCGGACGGGUGAGUAACACGUGGGUAACCUGCCUGUAAGACUGGGAUAACUCCGGGAAACCGGAGCUAAUACCGGAUAGUUCCUUGAACCGCAUGGUUCAAGGAUGAAAGACGGUUUCGGCUGUCACUUACAGAUGGACCCGCGGCGCAUUAGCUAGUUGGUGGGGUAAUGGCUCACCAAGGCGACGAUGCGUAGCCGACCUGAGAGGGUGAUCGGCCACACUGGGACUGAGACACGGCCCAGACUCCUACGGGAGGCAGCAGUAGGGAAUCUUCCGCAAUGGACGAAAGUCUGACGGAGCAACGCCGCGUGAGUGAUGAAGGUUUUCGGAUCGUAAAGCUCUGUUGUUAGGGAAGACAAGUGCGAGAGAACUGCUCGCACCUUGACGGUACCUAACCAGAAAGCCACGUUUAAAUACGGCCAACAGCCGCUGUAAUACCUAGGGGGCAAGCGUUGCCCGGAAUUUUUGGCCGAAAAGGUUUCCAAGGCGUUUUUUUUAAAGUUUGGUGGGAAACCCCCCCGCCUCCAACCGGGGGGGGGUUAUUUGGGAAACUUGGGAAAAUUUUGGGGGGCGAGGAAGGGGGUGGAGGGGGUUUUCCCCCUUGGGGGGCGGAAAAAAUGGCCAAAAAGUUUGCGGAAAAAACCCCUGUGAGGGGGAAAGGGGACCCUUUUUUGGUUUAUAAACUCAGCCUUUAGAGACCCGAACCCCGCGGCGGGGGCGAAAAAGGGUUUGAAAAAGCCCUUGGGAGGCCCCUCCCCCCGAAAAAAAAAAAGGGGGUUUAAAAGUUUAAAAGGGGUUUUGCCCCCCUUUUAGGGGGGGGGGGGCAAAACCAAAUAA
rnacentral:rRNA from 1 species